CUUUUCAUAUUUAAUGCAUAAUUAUCAGGCAGAAGUAAUUGCUGACGAGUCCAAAAGUACUGAUAAUGAAUCUUUUCAGAUUUGCAAGCACAAGUUAAUAUUUUACUUAGGAGGUAGAGUUGCUUCCCCACGUCCAUAGUUGACUUUACUUUAUAUUAAAUGUAGAUUAUCAUAUUAAACAAUAUAUAUAUAUAUAUGUUGAAAAAAGGAAGGGGGGGCAUUCCGAGAAUCGAACUCGGGACCUCUCGCACCCAAAGCGAGAAUCAUACCACUAGACCAAAUGCCCACUUCUUGAUGUAUUUGUUAUGACCUUGCUUCAAAUAUGAGUUUACCGCUAUUACAUUGUCUCAAGUAUGUAUUGUGAGACGAGUGAGUUUGAGCCUUGAGGUGCUUCCAUUUCCACAUAUGAUUUUUAGACUUUUAUGUUUUAUAAUACUCUGAUGCUAUUGACUGGUAAAUUUGUUGUUAAGAAAAGCAGAAAUAGUACAACCAAUGAGAAAAGGAAAACACUCAAGAUUUGCUUUAUUUAUGUUAUCUUUGCAAAGCUCAUUUGGAAGCAUAGAUCUAUAUCUAUAUCUUAUAACAAAGGCCAUGUGGCCUAGCGGUGUCAUAAGGUGUGUGAUGGGAAAAACGCAGCCACAACGGUAAACAAAAAUGCGGAAUAAUACUUCGUUUGACUAAACUAUUCCCGUCUUGAAUGAACUUUUUAGGAUGCAAACAAAUAGGAUAUUUUUACUUGCAACAAAACAGCCCCAAUGCAAGUUAUAUGAUCAAUAUAAUCAACCCAAAACUAUAAGUAAUAAACCAAUAACGACACCAGAAUUUUAGCGUGGAAACCUCUCAAGAAAGGAGAGUAAAACCACGGGACUACUAGAGCCGCUUCAAAUCCACUAUCACCAAUAUUUGAGCAAUACAAAAAUCUUCUCUAGAUGUAUUAGAGGCAUACAAUAAUCAAGCAUAUGGAAUCAAAUAAGCGAAGACAAAGAAGAAUAUCCCCAAAAACGUUCUUGAUUUCCAGCAGCAAACAGAGGCGACGAUUCCUGAGUCUCUGGAGUUGAUCUCGGAGAUUCAACCGUUGGAUUUGAAGGGCCCAAGUGUUAGGAAGCUGCUGUCCAAAAAUCAAAGGAAACGGACCGUUGGAUCUCCGGGAAAUUACCAAACACUGCAGGUGUAUCUUCAAAAACGGGAAUUAAGAAAAAAAACCCUCUUUUGCUUCUUGCUCUCUCUUACUCUCUUGGUGGCUGAAAACCUUUUUAUGUGUUAGUGAAAUUAGGGCAUGUCCCACAUAUAUAUAUAUACAUGGGCUAAAUAAGUGGGCUUUCCUCAUGGGCUAACAAACCCAAUAGAAAACCCAACAAAUCUCCCCCUUUUUGGCCUAUGAGGAAGAGUUCGCCAUCCCGGCAUCGAGCAACAUAUUUUCAACUUCUCCCUUACUAAAGCUUUAGUCAACAUAUCGGAACUAUUAUCAUCAGUAUGAACUUUUUCAAGUUCAAACAAUUUGUCUUCAAGUGCAUCUCUAAUCCAAUGAUACCUCACAUCGAUAUGCUUUGUUCUUUUGUGAAACAUAGAAUUCUUAGCAAGGUGAAUGACACUUUGAUUAUCACAAAGAACUAUGUAGCGUUUUUGCAAAUAUCCAAGCUCUUGCAUAAAUCUUUUCAGACACAAUAACUCUUUGCAUGCUUCUGUUGCUGCCAUAUACUCAGUCUCAGUGGUGGACAAGGCAACACACUUUUGCAGUCGUGACUGCCAUGACACAGCUCCCCCUGUAAAAGUCAUCAAAUAUCCAGAAGUGGAUUUCAUGUUGUCCUUGUUUCCUGCCAUAUCAGAAUCUGUAUAACCAACAAGCAUAGGUGCUUCAUUUCCAAAUGUUAUACCCAAUUUGGAAGUACCACGUAGAUAUCUGAAAAUCCACUUAACUGCUUCCCAAUGCUUCUUUCCCGAAUUUGACAGAAACCGACUAACAACACCAACUACAUGGGCAAUAUCUGGCCUUUUACACACCAUGGCAUACAUCAAACUCCCAACAGCCGAUACAUAUGGAACUCUAUCCAUCUCUUCAAUCUCCUUCUUAGUAGAAGGGCAAUCUCUAUCGGUCAGCUUAAAGUUGGUAGUUAGAGGCGAACUAACCACUUUAGCUUUAUCCAUGUUGACUCUGCAAAGCACCUUCUCAAUGUAUUGCUCUUGUGACAUAUGCAACUUCUUUGAAGCUCUAUCUCUAGUAAUCCGAAUGCCAAGAAUCUGUUUUGCCGGCCCCAAGUCUUUCAUAACAAAAGACUUGCUCAAUUGUUUCUUCAGCUGAAUAAUUCUCUCUGCAUUCUUGCCAACAAUCAACAUAUCAUCAACAUAAAGCAAUAAAAUUAUGAAAUCAUCAUCACCAAACCUCUGGAAGAAAACACAGUGAUCUGAAGUAGUGGUAGCCUUGCUCACCCAUGACUGACUCAAAUUUCUUGUACCAUUGUCUUGGUGCUUGCUUUAACCCAUAAAGACUUUUAUGAAGCCUACACACAUAGUCUUCUUUGCCUUUAACCUGAAAACCUUCAGGUUGCUUCAUAUAGAUUUCCUUGUCCAAGUCACCAUGAAGGAAAAGCUGUCUUGACAUCCAUUUGCUCAACCUCAAGAUCAAGGCUAGCAGCCAAACCAAGAAUCACCCGAAUGGAACCCAUCUUCACGACUGAAGAGAAAAUCUCAUCAAAAUCAAUACCCUUUCUUUGACUGAACCCUUUGACAACCAAUCUGGCCUUGUACCUAGGUCGUGAGGUAUGUUCUUCAGUCUUCACUUUGUAUACCCACUUGUUCUUCAAAGCUCUUUUGCCUUUAGGCAACUUCACCAACUUAAAGGUAUUGUUUUCAUGCAAGGAAUUCAUCUCAUCUUGCAUAGCUUCAACCCACUCUCUUUUAUGAUCAUCUUCCAUAGCUUCUGCAUAACAAUCAGGUUCUCCCCCAUCAGUGACUAAAACAUACUCAUCAGCAGAAUAACGGAUGGAAGGAUGACAAUCUCUCAUGGACCGCCUAAGUGGGACAAAUGGUGGUAUAUCAGGUACCAGUAACUCUGGAUGAAGAUCCUCAUCCAACUCUGACUGCUCUGGAACAUCAUUGUCAUCAGUACCAUGUUGUUCAUCAUUCUGAACAUCUUCAUUAAUUUGCUCAAAAUGUUGAGGGGGAACAGGAUCCAAAUCAACACGAUCAUCAGUAUAUUGAGGAACUAUCUUUGUCUUCUCAAUAUCUUUUAAACUCUGAACUUCAACAAAUACAACAUCACGACUCCUUACGAGUUUCUUUAGAACUGGAUCAUAUAACAUGUAACCGAAUUCAUCUUGGCCAUAACCAAGGAAUAUACACGACUUGGUCUUCAUUUCAAGCUUUGAUCUUUCAUCUUUGGGAAUAUGCACAAAAGCCUUGCAUCCAAAGACUCGUAAAUGACGAUACGAAACAUCUUUUCCACUCCAAACCCUGUCAGGAACAUCAAAAAACAAAGGAACACAGGGAGUAAGAUUAAUAACAUGUACCGCUGUAUUCAAAGCUUCUCCCCAAAAAGAAUCAUGUAAUCCUGCAUGUGAAAGCAAACAUCUAACUGUUUCACCCAAUGUUCUAUUCAUCCGUUUUGUUAAACCGUUCAACUGUGUUGUCUUUGGAGGAGUCUUUUGGUGCCGAAUACCUUACUCUCUACAAUAAGCAUCAAAAGGACCAAUGUAUUCACCGCCAUUAUCUGUCCGAACACACUUCAAUUUCUUCCCAGUUUGUCUCUCAACCAAGGCAUGAAACUGCUUAAACACAUCCAAUACUUGAUCUUUAGUCUUCAAAGUAUAAACCCAUACCUUCCUUGAACAGUCAUCGAUAAAUGUGACAAAAUACAAGCAACCCCCAAGUGUCCUAGUCUUCAUGGGACCACAUACAUCGGAAUGUACCAGAUCAAGUAUAUUCUCCUUCCUGGAAGGAGGAUGACUCUUAAAGGAAACUCUAUUUUGCUUACCUGCCAGACAAUGAGAAUAUCUCUUCAAAUUCACAUCAUGCACACUGGUCAACACAUUUUUCUUCAACAACAAAGACAUCCCCUUUUCACUCAUGUGACCAAGUCUCUUAUGCCACAAAUCGGUCAUGUCACAAUGUAUCGAUGCAUGGAUCGAUUCUUUGGAGAUCUUCGGGUGUGUCAUGUAUAACUUUGAGCUUCUUUCACCUCUUGCCACAAUCAAAGAACCACGAGUGAGUUUCCAAAUGCCACCACCAAAGGUACUAUGGUAACCGUCAUCAUCAAGUAAGCCAACAGAGAUCAAACUAAGUCUAAUAUCUGGAACAUGUUUUACAUUGUGUAAAACCAACUCCAUCCCAGUUUCAAACUUCAAACAAAUAUCUCCGACUCCAACAAUCUUUAAUAACCCAUUAUUACCCAUCUUAACAUUCUCAAAAUCACUAGGAGUAUAAGAUGUGUAAAAAUCCCUUUGUGAUGUCACAUGACAAGUAGCACCACUGUCAACAACCCAACUCGAAUCAUCAUGUGCAAAAUUGACCAUAUCAUAAUCACAACAAAUAAAGAACUCUUUGGUAGCAGUGUUAACUUCAGCAGUAUCAUUACUACCAUCAUCUUUCUUUUGGUUGUUCUUUUUAUUGUUGUAAUUUGCCUUCUUGUUCUCCCUUUUCAAUUGUCUACAGAAUCGUAUUGUGUGCCCUUUUCUACCACAAUGAUUGCACUCAUAGUCAACAAACUUUCCUUUAGAUUUACUGUGAUGCUUCCCUUUGUUAUUUGGACUUCUACUUUGACUUCUCCCCCUGCUUUCUGUGACCAAGACAUCUGAAUGUGAAGAGGAACCUUGUGACUUUCUUCUCAUCUCUUCAUUUAAAACACCGCCUUUAGCCAAUUCCAUGGUGAUAAUACCACUGGUGCAGAGUUGGACAAGGAUGUCUUAAAAUUUUUCCAAGAAUUCGGUAAAAUGCUAAGGAGCCAUAAACCUUGUAACUCAUCUUCAAACUUGAUACCCAUUCCUGCAAGCUGAUUAAUAAUUCCUUGGAAAGAAUUCAAAUGAUCACUAAUAGGAUUUCCAUCAUGGUACUUCAAGCCAAUCAACUGUUUAAUCAGGAACAAUUUAUUGUUCCCGGUCUUCCGAGCAUACUACUUAAGCUUGUUCCACAAAGUACGAGCAUGAGUUUCCGCGCUAAUAUGGUUCAAAACAUUAUCAUCAACCCAUUGUCGAAUAUACCCACAAACUUUUCUAUGCAAAAUAUUCCACUCUGCAUCUGUUUUAUCAUCGGGUUUUUCAGUAUUAAACACAGGCAUGUAAUAAUCCUUCACAUAAAGAAGGUCUUCCAUCUUGCCUCUCCAAACUUGAUAAUUAAAACCAUUCAAAUUUACAAUCUUAUUUGUAUUAGCUUCCAUUGUUCAAACAAGUAACCUAAUAACAAGAACCACGCUUUGAUACCAAUCUGAUGGGAAAAACGCAGCCACAACGGUAAACAACAAUGCGGAAUAAUAUUUCGUUUGACUAAACUAUUCCCGUCUUGAAUGAACCUUUUAGGAUGCAAACAAAUAGGAAAUUUUUACUUGCAACAAAACAGCCCCAAUGCAAGUUAUAUGAUCAAUAUAAUCAACCCAAAACUAUAAGUAAUCAACCAAUAACGACACCGGAAUUUUAGCGUGGAAACCUUUCAAGAAAGGAGAGUAAAACCACGGGACUACUAGAGCCGCUUCAAAUCCACUAUCACCAAUAUUUGAGCAAUACAAAAAUCUUCUCUAGAUGUACUAGAGGCAUACAAUAAUCAUCAUAUACUUGGAACUAAAUCACAUCAAGCAUAUGGAAUCAAAUAAGCAAAGACAAAGAAGAAUAUCACCAAAAACGUUAUUGAUUUCCAGCAGCAAACAGAGGCGACGAUUCCUGAGUCUCUGGAGCUGAUCUCGGAGAUUCAACCGUUGGAUCUGAAGGGCCCAGGUGUUAGGAAGUUGCUGUCCAAAAAUCAAAGGAAACGGACCGUUGGAUCUCCGGGAAAUUACCAAACACUGCAGGUGUAUCUUCAAAAACGGGAAUUAAGAAAAAAACCCUCUUUUGCUUCUUGCUCUCUUUUACUCUCUUGGUGGCUGAAAACCUUUUUAUGUGUUAGUGAAAUUAGGGCAUGUCCCACAUAUAUAUACAUGGGCUAAAAAACCCAAUAGAAAACCCAACAGUGUGUUGGAAAGGGGUUGAGGGUUCAAGUCCCAUGGUGGACAUGUCAUAGAUGUAGGAUUAGGGAGUGUAAAUGAUACACAUACACAGUCCUCAUACAUGGAGUCAAACACACUGCUUGUGAUUUGUGAAUUGUGAAUUCUGAAUUGUGAAAGCCCAAUCCAACACAAAAGUCCAAAUAAGUUUACUGUAACAUGCUAAAAGAGUAUUGUGGAAGUCUUAACAUAAUCAACUAACUGGAUUACCCGGUUUCACUAAUCAUCAACAAAUUUGUUAGCAUAUUUUAAAUUUAUGGCUAGUUGAUAGGUUUACCCUAAUUUUUUCAUAUAUACAGUUUCCUUUUCUGUCAUAUUUGUAAAUAAAAUACUAAUUUUGCUUUCUUUGGUAAACUUAAUUAUGGCAAGAAAAGGUUUUCAAAUAACAACAUGAAUAUUUUUAUUUGUAAUAAAUGUGGCCAAAAGGGACAUACAUUGGGAAGGUGUUUCAAAUUAAUCGGAUACCCAAAGGAUUAUAAAGGUAAAACUGAUACUCAAAUUUAAAACAAACAUAUUGCUAAUAAUUGUACUUGGACUGAUUCAAAAGAAUAAUUCCUUACCAUCUUCUGCAACUUUACUUUUUCUCCUUAUGAAAUCACUAAAAUUCUGAGUCUUUAGUGACAACCAAGGAGGCAAUGUUGUGGCUAAUCAACAUUUUACAAAAAAUAAUUAAAAAAAUCUUGAUAAUGUUGCUAUUUUUGAUCUUAAAUUGAAGGUGGAUCACCCUUAUAAGACUUCUGCUAAGAUUAAUAAGAUUGGCAAUUUGUAUCUGUCAGAUUCUGUGGUUUUACUUGAUGUGUUGGUGUCCUGUAAUUCAAUGUGAACUUAAUGUAUGUUCACAUGGUUGGUAAAGAUAAUAAAAUUCAAAUGGUUUUUUUUUUCAAAAAAAAAUGAGUGUUAUUUACAGAAAAUAUCGACAGUGGGGACGUGUAGUGAAAUUGGGGGAUUGCAUUUUUCAAUCAAGGUAAUAGUAAUAAGUUUAAGGCUAAUUAUAUGUCUAAUCCUAUAUGUAUCAUGUGUAAAGCCAAUUUACCUCUGGGAUCUAAACCACAAUCACGGGUGUAAAUGAGAAUUACCAACACCUAGUCACAUAAGAAACUUUGUCCCAUCCUUCAAAACCCUUUAUAGCAUUCAUCCAACACACCCAAAAAUCACCUGUGUUUUUAGACAAAUAUAGCAUCAUUAGGGGUGCAAACGAGCCAAGCUACUCGAGAUCGGAUCGUUAAAAGCUCGACUCGAAACCAAUUUUAAACGAGCCCGAGCCGAGCUCGAGCUUAAUGUUAAGCUUGUUUAUUAAACGAGUUCGAGCUCAAGCCUAUGUCACAAAGCUCGAUUAGGCUCGCGAGCCUAAACGAGCCUUUAUAUAUUAUUAUUUAUAUAUAUUAAAUUAAAAACAUAUUAAGGGAAUUGUGAAUUUCGGGUUUUAGUAAACGAGCUCGAGCCGAGCCUGGCCAGGCUUGGCUCGUUUGCACCCCUAAGCAUCAUACAUUCAUCCUUAGUGAAUAUUUCACACAAAACCCCUCAAACCCUGGUUUGAAACGCAAUAUGAAAGUACGUUGUUAUUUUUUGCAUUUAAUUAUAAUCCACAAAUAGAAAAAUGAGUAAAGUGAGUGUGGGGGCAUUCCGAGAAUUGAACUCGGGACCUCUCGCACCCUAAGCGAGAAUCAUACCACUAGACCAAAUGCCCAUUUUUGUUUAGUCUACUGCAUUUAUAGUCAUUUACUUUCUGUUGUGAGUUAAUUAUAUAAAUGCAGUAAGUACAUAAUACUAGUAAAAAUAUAACAGGUAGCAGAAAGAUAUCUUAUUCUGGUAGGCAGUUGCAUAUUAUAUUUUCACCAAGCAUCUUUUCAGAUAUGAAAGCACAUGUUUUGUGGUAUAUAAAUUAAAAUGUGUCCAUUUUGAGUAGGUAGAUCUGUUUCCAGAAGUCCUCGAUUGACUUUAGUGAGUAGAAUAUUAAAUUAAACAAAAUGGAUGCACUUAAUUUUUUAUAUAUAAAAUGUAUUGAUUUUGUUGAGGAAAAAGAUUGGGGCAUUCCGAGAAUCGAACUCGGGACCUCUCGCACCCAAAGCGAGAAUCAUACCACUAGACCAAAUGCCCACUUCCUUCAUUUAUCUAUCUCUUUCUUUUUAUUUCUUGAAAUAUGAGUUUGCUAAAUCUGAAAUGUGUAAAAACCAGUGAAUUUGAAGUGCUUCUACAUGUGAUUAUUCACUGCAAUUUGCCAGAGAGUAGUUUGAGGCAUGAAUGUGAAUCAAGGAGUGCUUGGCACUUGAUGUCUUAAGUUUGCUUAUCUUAUGUUUGCAAAGCUCGUAUGCAAAGACAUCCAUUUUUAAUUGUAAAAGUUUAUAUAUUGCAUAUCCUGGGCAUGUACUUGUUUUGUUAAUAUAUGCAACCUAUAUAUGUAAUUGUAAACUAAUAGAAUACCCACAUAUUGAAGCAAAAUAGUAUUAUAUAGCUAGAUAUAGACAAUUGUGUGAUUAAAAAUAACUAAAUCAUUGCCAUAACUAUGAAAUAAUAUUUUUUUAUAUUAAAUUUAAAAUAACAUUGUCAUUAUAUUGAAUCAUAUAAGUGAGAUAUCUAUUACAACCUAUGGAAAGAGUUGUGAUUGUUAUAAUUAUUGAACAUAAUUUUCAUUAUAAAAUUAAAAAAUAAUAUGGUUUAAGAUGAAUAUUUGAUUUGAAUUAAAUUAUCCCAACGAUAUCUACUUGUUGUUUGGGCAUUAAUAAAGUUAUGUAUAGUUUGCGGUUUAAAAUGAUUGAUAAUUGUUAUUAUAUAUAAUUACUAAUUCACAAGGUACACUUGAACAGUUCUAUCCUCCUAUUGGCUGAAUUUUCUUUUUGAAAUUUUCAUUUUCUUUUCCUUUGUUGUCUUCUUUCAUUUAAUUCAUAUUUUAUGUUGCACUUAAUGGUGGAUUACACAUGUCUUUCUUUCUCAACCUCUUCUCAUAGUGGAUUACAAAUGUCUUAAUUUCUCAUACCUCUUUCCACGUGUUUCUGUUUCUGCGGUCAUUUUCACUUUUUCCACCGCUUACGUUCUACGUCUCUCCUUUCUUUUGCUCUUUGCUAGACGAUCGUUGGUUUUCUUUCCAGGUUAGUCUGGUUGUUUUUCCUGCUUCUUUUGUUCCACCACUGCCAGGAUACAAUACGUGUUUGUUUCUUCUGCAUCUCCUUUCUUACUCACCCUUUAAUCCUCCACCGCUCUUUCUUUGCUUUCUCUUCCCAAUUGUUCCACUUUUUUUUGUUUCGUUUAUUCUGCUUCAUCUCCCCUCUAGCGACGUUGCUUCUCUCUUCCGCCACCAUCGGCGGUCCCGAUCCUUCCACACUUACCGAAUUCUUCUUCUACUCUGAUUAUCACUCUAUCUCCUCCCUUUUAAUUUCUCAGAACGAAGAUCAUGGAAACAAAGGCCGAAGCAAUACCCAGAAUACCGCCGCCGCCACAGGGAUCAACGCCUUUGUCGAUCUGACCCGUGUAACCGAUAACUGUUAAGAUAGUAACGUAAAGGAAGAGAAGGGUGGCAACGAACUCGGCAAUCACAGCUCUGUACAAUGACCACUUGCUCAGCUCCUUGGGUUCUAUGAAUGACACCGGUGGUGGGUCGUGGUAGUCCUUCGCCGUGUCUCCAACUUCUGCCACUUCUUGUGUCAUGUUGAAAAGAGAGAAAGAUGAGUUUUAGAGAAAGUGGUGGUGGUUGUAGCACUUAACAAGGUACACGAGAUACGAGAUAGAAUGUUGCAUUUGGUAAAGAUGAUGAUUUGGAUUUAGUUGGCUUUCCUACCAAGAUAUAAAGAGAGCUACACUUUUUCUUGUGGGUUUUCUAGGUUUCUUACACAAUCUGGGUUUCUUAAUCUGUGGAUGUCUUCUUCCUGGUGUUGUGUGGGGGAGGUGUUAGUUAAUAAGCUUAAAUGUUUAACUGGUGAGGGGCAUAGUUGGAAAUUGUUGAUUGUGAUGAUCACCAACAGUUUGCCUUUGUUUACAGGUGCUUCUAUAAAGAAUGUUGAAGAAAGAGGACUUAUCAUACAUUUUUUCAUUCAUAUGAGGUCAAGGCAAAGACGACAUGGAAGCAGAAGAUGGUCAAUUCAUUGACAGUGUUCUGAGGCAUCAGCGAAAGGACAUGGCAGAAAAGGACACUCACAAGAUCUUUUUCUGAAGUACAAAAUCUCAGUGGCUCUAAAAAAAGUUGUAGACUACAAUAACAAACUUGUGGAGGAUAUAAGGCACAUGAAAAUAGCAUCUCAAGAGGAGACCAUGCUGAUUGAUAAUGGCAACUUUGUUAAACCGGAAUAUGGUUUGAAACAAGGUAAAGGGUUUUUUUUGUUGAAAGGGCUUCAAUUUGUAAUUUAAUACAAGUUCUUGGAGUCUAUUGAUGACAAAAAGAAAGUUGAUGCUGUAUCCUUUGAUGUGCAUAGCUAUGUGGUCUAGAUGGGGACAUUCAUGAACUUGGUCAAGACAAAAGAGAAAAAUGUGUUAUUUUCUAACUUUCUUAAUGAAACUAAAAUAUUUAUUUGGUAUAGAUCAUAGAGUUAUAUGUUUUUUUGUUGUUUGUGACAGGUAAAUCAUCCAAAAAAGGAUAAUUGUAUGACAUCUUAACAUGUAACUACUUGCACCUAUUUUUCUUAAAAAAAAAACUUAUAUUUUGAUUUUA